GCAAACAAAAUGUAGAGCAGCGCCCAAGUGGAUAGUAGAUGGUGCAGGCAGCGGUGAAAGGGUCCUAGGUCAAGAUGUACAGAAAGUAGAAAAGAAGACCAGUAUGACUAUAGGUUCUGCAUAGGAGAUGUAUACAAAAAAAGGGUUCCUCCUCGAAUACUUAACCAAUUAUCCUGGUGUAAUUGUAGCAAGUGUAAGGAAUGGAAAUGACAGGCGGAUGUAAAAGAAACUCUUACACGGGACUCAUUUAGUGUUGGAAAUUGUAUCGUAAAAGACAAUGAGAUACCGAUACAUAUGGGAAGAACGGAGAAGUACUGAAUGCUGGGUCGGCCUUGCUCUAGAGGGUCUCUACCAAAAGUUAUGUGUACAAAAACAAGUACACAUCACAGCAAGUGACCAUACCUCCCUGCUUCCAGCUUGUGGUUCAAAGAAGGCUCCAAUAUUAUUUACUGUGUGAGUUGGUUUGGAGCAUGAAUAUUUCGUAUAUGCGAAUAUGCACAUAUUCGCAAAUAUUGACACUUCCAGAGGACACUGAUCCCUCCCUUCUUUUAUGUGAAAAAUAUAA